rnacentral:rRNA from 1 species
UACGUACUGGGCGAACGUUAUUCGGAAUCACUGGGCUUAAAGGGUGCGUAGGCGGCCUUCCAGGUCCGGUGUGAAAUCUCACGGCUCAACCGUGAAACUGCGCUGGAAACCGGAAGGCUUGAGUGUGCUAGGGGUGUGUGGAACUUCCAGUGGAGCGGUGAAAUGUGUUGAUAUUGGAAGGAACGCCGGUGGCGAAAGCGACACACUGGGGCAUAACUGACGCUGAGGCACGAAAGCUAGGGUAGCGAACGGGAUUAGAAACCCCCGUAGUCC